rnacentral:lncRNA from 1 species
AGGGCUUCAAAGUUGCCCGGACUCCACCAUUACCAGUGCCUCUUGUUCAGACUCUGAGAUGCCCCAACAUCCUGCUGACACUUCACUUGUAGAUGUAUGAAGAUUGGUGCUAUCACCUUCAUUCUAUGAGAUCCUUACACAGAAGGCAGUUACGAUGACUUGCUUCCAACAGGCAGGCAGCGUGUACUAAUUUGAAGUAAGGAGUCAGUCCGAAGGACUUACGAUGUUAAGCAAAGAAAAAUAAAAAUUUUUGG